rnacentral:pre_miRNA from 1 species
AAUAAGAUCAUUUUUUUAGCUUGUGAUACAAUAUUUUAACUCUCGUCUUAUUUAAAACUUUUUUAAUUAAUAUUUAUUCUUACUCGAUGAUAAAACAUGAAUUAUACUUUAUGCAUGACUAAUUUUUUUAAGUUUUUUUAUAAAUUAUUCAAAUAAGACGAAUAGUCAAACGUUAGACACGAAAAAACGAAAAAUGAAGUUAUU